CCUACGGGAGGCAGCAGUGAGGAAUAUUGGUCAAUGGGCGCGAGCCUGAACCAGCCAAGUAGCGUGAAGGAUGACUGCCCUACGGGUUGUAAACUUCUUUUAUAAAGGAAUAAAGUGAGGCACGUGUGCCUUUUUGCAUGUACUUUAUGAAUAAGGAUCGGCUAACUCCGUGCCAGCAGCCGCGGUAAUACGGAGGAUCCGAGCGUUAUCCGGAUUUAUUGGGUUUAAAGGGAGCGUAGGUGGGGUGUUAAGUCAGGUGUGAAAGUUUGCGGCUCAAUCGUAAAAUUGCAAGUGAUACUGGCGGGCUUGAGUACAGUUGAGGUAGGCGGAAUGCGUGGUGUAGCGGUGAAAUGCUUAGAUAUCACGAAGAACUCCGAUUGCGAAGGCAGCUUACUAAACUGCCACUGACAUUGAUGCUCGAAAGUGUGGGUAUCAAACAGGAUUAGAUACCCUGGUAGUC
rnacentral:rRNA from 1 species